rnacentral:rRNA from 1 species
AUACGGGAGGCAGCAGUAGGGAAUAUUGAACAAUGGGCGCAAGCCUGAUCCAGCUAUGCCGCGUGAAGGAUGACGGCCCUAUGGGUUGUAAACUUCUUUUAGCAGGGAAAAAACCCCUCGAUGCGUCGGGGGCUGAUGGUACCUGCAGAAUAAGGAUCGGCUAACUCCGUGCCAGCAGCCGCGGUAAUACGGAGGAUCCAAGCGUUAUCCGGAUUUAUUGGGUUUAAAGGGUGCGUAGGCGGAUAAAUAAGUCAGUGGUGAAAGCCUGCAGCUUAACUGUAGAAUUGCCAUUGAUACUGUUUAUCUUGAAUGUAGUUGAGGUGGGCGGAAUAUGACAUGUAGUGGUGAAAUACUUAGAUAUGUCAUAGAACACCGAUUGCGAAGGCAGCUCACUAAGCUACGAUUGACGCUGAGGCACGAAAGCGUGGGGAGCAAACAGGAUUAGAUACCCCUGUAGUCCG